UGGGGAAUAUUGGACAAUGGGCGAAAGCCUGAUCCAGCGACGCCGCGUGAGUGAAGAAGGCCUUCGGGUUGUAAAGCUCUUUUAGUAGGGAAGAUAAUGACGGUACCUACAGAAAAAGCUCCGGCUAACUUCGUGCCAGCAGCCGCGGUAAUACGAAGGGAGCUAGCGUUACUCGGAAUUAUUGGGCGUAAAGCGUGCGUAGGCGGUCUUACAAGUCGGGAGUGAAAGCCUUGGGCUCAACCUAAGAAUUGCUUUCGAAACUGUGAGACUAGAGUACUAGAGGGGAUGGCGGAAUUCCUAGUGUAGAGGUGAAAUUCGUAGAUAUUAGGAGGAACACCGGUGGCGAAGGCGGCCAUCUGGCUAGAUACUGACGCUGUUGCACGAAAGCGUGGGGAGCAAA
rnacentral:rRNA from 1 species